AGUUAUAAAGCUUUAGCAAGCAUAUGUUUUGAAAGCAUAAGACAGAAGUUCAAUUCUUCUAUUAACUU
rnacentral:tRNA from 1 species